rfam:Brachypodium distachyon strain Bd21 chromosome 2, whole genome shotgun sequence.
UCAUUACUUCCUCCGUCCAACAAAAGAUGUCUCAAGUUUGUCAAAAUUUAGAUGUAUCUAGACAUGAUUUAGUGCAUACAUACAUUUAAAUUUGGUCAAAAUUGAGACAUUCUUUGUUGGACGGAAAAAGUUUUUU